UUUAGUGCAGGGAGACUUCAUUACUUUUACUGAGUUUUAUUUCAGUCACUGUUGAAAAAAAAUUACUUGUUUGUCAGUCCUGAUUUGUUCCAAUUUGAUUCACUACCACCUCUAACUUAAAUGAAACUGAGAAGGUGCAUCAAGAGAAAGCAAAAGUGCUGGAGGACUUAUAUAGCAUUUGAAUGAGUUCUGUGAAACUCAUUUUAGACAAGAGAGAGGUGACACCCUUUUUCUGGUUACUGAGUAGGACUUAUUUCUCCUGUUUCUCCUGAAAAAGCUGUGUACAUUGCUGAGGACUGUAUUAAUGGGUAUUUAGAGGAGGUACAAGUCAUGCCAGUAUUUCUGUUGCAUGGGCUGAUCUGAAUUAACCAGGACAUAGAGGUGGGAGUCCUGUGGUACAGAUAACCCAGAGUGGAUGGACACAAGGCAGGAUUUGGGGUGGUGGUUCCAAACUUACCUGAUAUUAAAAGAGGAAUUUGCCAGUGAAAUGAAUCUAAGUGUGCAAGUUGCAGCAGCCUUGAGACAGAAGCAAAUUCCACACUGGUAAAUAAUCAGAAGGCUACAGCACCUUGGGUGUGGAACUCUGUGCUUGUCCAAAGCAGACUGAAGAUCUGCAGAACAGAUUCUGUAACAGGAGCUUCCACAGUCAGCACAGGCCAGCUCCUUAAAGACUCAGAUGUCAGCAACACAUCAAAGUGGCAGAGUCCCACCAGACUCAGUGACCAAGACGAAGAGGUUUAGCUCCCAGAGGCAAGGGGGCACUGAGCCUGCUCCUCCAUCCCUCUGUGCUCCUCCAGAGACAGACAGUGAGAAUGCACACAAGAAGCCAUGAGGGAGCAUUAACAAGACAGAACUGGCAGGAGGAAUAUUCCAUACCACAGACCAUCAAGCUCAGAAUAUAAAAUGAGAGGAAUUGGCAGGGAGGGGUGAUCACUGCUCAAAGACAGGCUGGGCAUGGCCAAUGGGUGGUAAGCAGUUGGACUGGGCAUCCAUCCGCUGUUUCUUUUGUGUUUUAUUCUU